AUCUUUGUUGUUGGGUGGUUGGGGUUUGGCAGAGUAGUGCAGAGAGCCAGAAUAAAAUGGAAAACAAAAACGAAAAGAAAGACUUAGAGAUAAUCGAUUACAAGAUUGAAACUUGCGAUCAAGAAAUUGAGUCUCUAAGGCCAGAGCGUGUCCAGGCAGAACCUUGACUCCGCCAGAUCUUCAUCUUCCACAGUUGCUUGUAAAUAGCUGUUAGUCUCCAGCUUCAAUUGGUUCUGGUCAGCGAAAUAUGUUGAGGAGGGGAACUGACUGAGUAUUGUUUCCACAGAAUCAGAGUUUUGGUGUUUGAGAUGAAGAAGUUGAGUUACCAGAAGAACAAGAGUUGCCAUCAAAAACAAAAGCAAAGAUUUAAGUUAUCUGAGAGCUAUUGAUCGAUGUAUGAAUUGAUUAGUUUCUGAACACGUUAUGUGCCAUUUAUAAUAAAUGGAAAAAAAACAGGGAAUGUCAUGCCCAUUGAUUAUUCAUAA